AUACGGAGGGUGCAAGCGUUAUCCGGAAUCAUUGGGUUUAAAGGGUCCGUAGGCGGGCAAUUAAGUCAGAGGUGAAAUCCCACAGCUCAACUGUGGAACUGCCUUUGAUACUGGUUGUCUUGAGUUAUAGUGAAGUAGAUAGAAUGUGUAGUGUAGCGGUGAAAUGCGUAGAUAUUACACAGAAUACCGAUUGCGAAGGCAGUCUACUAACUGUUGACUGACGCUAAUGGACGAAAGCGUGGGGAGCGAACAGGAUUAGAAACCCCAGUAGUCC
rnacentral:rRNA from 1 species